rnacentral:rRNA from 2 species
UACGUAGGAUCCGAGCGUUGUCCGGAUUUACUGGGUGUAAAGGGUGCGCAGGCGGAAUGGUAAGUCAGAGGUGAAAUCUCGCCGCUCAACGGCGAAACUGCCUUUGAUACUAUCAUUCUUGAAUCCGGUAGAGAUCUGUGGAAUUCCGAGUGUAGCAGUGAAAUGUGUAGAUAUUCGGAAGAACACCAGUGGCGAAGGCAGCAGAUUGGGCCGGUAUUGACGCUCAGGCACGAAAGCAUGGGGAUCAAACAGG